rnacentral:rRNA from 1 species
AUUGAACGCUGGCGGCAUGCCUUACACAUGCAAGUCGAACGGUAACGCGGGGCAACCUGGCGACGAGUGGCGAACGGGUGAGUAAUGCAUCGGAACGUACCCAGUAGUGGGGGAUAGCCCGGCGAAAGCCGGAUUAAUACCGCAUACGACCUAAGGGUGAAAGCGGGGGACCGUAAGGCCUCGCGCUAUUGGAGCGGCCGAUGUCAGAUUAGGUAGUUGGUGGGGUAAAGGCCUACCAAGCCUUCGAUCUGUAGCUGGUCUGAGAGGACGACCAGCCACACUGGGACUGAGACACGGCCCAGACUCCUACGGGAGGCAGCAGUGGGGAAUUUUGGACAAUGGGCGAAAGCCUGAUCCAGCCAUGCCGCGUGCGGGAAGAAGGCCUCGG